AAAAUAGGGACAAAACUUAAAACAGAAACAGGGAGCCAUGACACCGUGAUACUGAAGCAUACUACACACCAAACCUCAAAAGAUAUUUCACUAGGAAGGAUGAAUAUUGUAUCCUAAACAACCUAUAAUACAGAACUUGAGCAUUUUCGGUUGUGCUUACAAGCAAGUGAUACUCAAAGUUAUUUAUUUUGCCAAGCAUAAUUUUAAAAGUUAUCUUUUUACCAACAAAACUUAUUUUCCUAGAACGCAAGUCUUCAAUUAGAGCACAUAAGAGCAUUUUUAGCUUAAAAAUGAAGUAGGCUUAGAAGAAGGUAAAGUAACUUUCAACUAACUAUUUGUCCCCAAAUAUGUUUAGAUAACUUACUUCUCUCUUACUUUUAAGUAAAAUUGUAUUUGUUAAAAGUAUUUCUUAACUCCCAUAAAACAAGUAUUAUUUCUAAAUUCCACCAAUAAAAGAAGCUAUUUAUUUUUAAAUCUUAUUUUCUUAAGUAAACUUUUGAAGCUAGCUCUUGCUUUCUAGAAAAGUAACUUUUUUAAGAUACAUGCUCUAUGUAACAUCUAGGUGAUCAACAACAAUACUAGCAACUUGUACCAUAAAAUGUUGUAGUCACAUCAUUAGAAGUUCCGCUUACAUUAAUUAAUAAGAAACUUGCAUCUAUAGAAGCAGCUAAUGGUAUAAUAGAUGGCAAACUCAUUAAGCAGUAGCCAGGAACAUAACUUAAUAUAGAGAAAGGGAGCCAUGACACCAUGAUAUUGAAGCGGACUACUACUUACCAAACUAAUGAUACCAGUUCACUAUCAGAUAAAUGAGAAGACUAUGAUCUCUGUCCGUUACAAAUAUGGCAAUCAUAUUUACUAAACCAACCUUCCAGGUGUCUCCACAAAUCACAUGAACCUCCUGUUAUGAACAGGCAAAUCAAGAUGCAGAGGUCUACGACAAUCCAGCAUGGAGUGCCUAUCAAGAGAUGACUAUGAUAAUUCUGCAAUUCAUGUACAAUACGCUC
rnacentral:lncRNA from 1 species